rnacentral:rRNA from 1 species
AACGAACGCUGGCGGCAGGCUUAACACAUGCAAGUCGAACGAGAUCUUCGGAUCUAGUGGCAGACGGGUGAGGAACACAUGGGAACAUCCCUUUCAGUUCGGAAUAACGUUGGGAAACUAACGCUAAUACCGGAUACGUCCUUCGGGAGAAAGAUUUAUCGCUGAAAGAUUGGCCCGCGUCUGAUUAGCUAGUUGGUGAGGUAAUGGCUCACCAAGGCUACGAUCAGUAGCUGAUCUGAGAGGAUGAUCAGCCACAUUGGGACUGAGACACGGCCCAAACUCCUACGGGAGGCAGCAGUGGGGAAUAUUGGACAAUGGGCGCAAGCUUGAUCCAGCCAUGCCGCGUGAGUGAUGAAGGCCUUCGGGUUGUAAAGCUCUUUUAUCCGGGAAGAUAAUGACUGUACCGGAAGAAUAAGCCCCGGCAAACUUCGUGCCAGCAGCCGCGGUAA